CCUACGGGAGGCAGCAGUGGGGAAUAUUGCACAAUGGGGGAAACCCUGAUGCAGCGACGCCGCGUGAGUGAAGAAGUAAUUCGGUAUGUAAAGCUCUAUCAGCAGGGGAGAAAAUGACGGUACCUGAGUAAGAAGCCCCGGCUAACUACGUGCCAGCAGCCGCGGUAAUACGUAGGGGGCAAGCGUUAUCCGGAUUUACUGGGUGUAAAGGGAGCGUAGGCGGCAGUGCAAGUCUGGAGUGAAAGGCGGGGGCUCAACCCUCGGACUGCUCUGGAAACUGUACGGCUGGAGUGCAGGAGAGGUAAGUGGAAUUCAUAGUGUAGCGGUGAAAUGCGUAGAUAUCAGGAGGAACACCAGUGGCGAAGGCGGCUUACUGGACUGUAACUGACGUUGAGGCUCGAAAGCGUGGGGAGCAAACAGGAUUAGAUACCCCUGUAGUC
rnacentral:rRNA from 1 species